rnacentral:rRNA from 1 species
UACGUAGGGCGCAAGCGUUGUCCGGAAUUAUUGGGCGUAAAGAGCUCGUAGGCGGCUCGUUGCGUCGGCUGUGAAAACCCGCAGCUCAACUGUGGGCUUGCAGCUGAUACGGGCGGGCUGGGAUUCGGUAGGGGAGACUGGAAUUCCUGGUGUAGCGGUGAAAUGCGCAGAUAUCAGGAGGAACACCGAUGGCGAAGGCAGGUCUCUGGGCCACUACUGACGCUGAGAAGCGAAAGCAUGGGGAGCGAACAGG